rnacentral:rRNA from 1 species
GACGUAGGAGGCGAGCGUUAUCCGGAUUCACUGGGCGUAAAGCGCACGUAGGCGGCUUUCUAAGUCAGGGGUGAAAUCCUGGAGCUCAACUCCAGAACUGCCUUUGAUACUGGAGAGCUAGAGUCCGGAAGAGGUGAGUGGAACUGCGAGUGUAGAGGUGAAAUUCGUAGAUAUUCGCAAGAACACCAGUGGCGAAGGCGGCUCACUGGUCCGGUACUGACGCUGAGGUGCGAAAGCGUGGGGAGCAAACAGG